AUCUGGGAGGGGAGUGGGUUCCAGUGGUUAGGGCACUGGGAGCCAGCACUGCUGGCCAGGACUCCUGGAUCUGGGAGGGGAGUGGGUUCCAGUGGUUAGGGCACUGGGAGCCAGCACUGCUGGCCAGGACUCCUGGAUCUGGGAGGGGAGUGGGGUCCAGUGGUUAGGGCACUGGGAGCCAGCACUGCUGGCCAGGAUUCCUGGAUCUGGGAGGGGAGUGGGGUCUAGUGGUUAGCGCACUAGGAGCAAGGACUCCUGGGU